CAGCCGCCGCGGGAAUACGAAGGGGGCUAGCGUUGUUCGGAUUUACUGGGCGUAAAGCGCACGUAGGCGGAUCGAUCAGUCAGGGGUGAAAUCCCAGAGCUCAACUCUGGAACUGCCUUUGAUACUGUCGAUCUGGAGUAUGGAAGAGGUGAGUGGAAUUCCGAGUGUAGAGGUGAAAUUCGUAGAUAUUGGGAAGAACACCGGUGGCGAAGGCGGCGACCUGGUUCAUAACUGACGCUGAGGCGCGAAAGCGUGAGGAGCAAACAGGAUUAGAUACCCCCGUAGUCCCUGUCUCUUAUAC
rnacentral:rRNA from 1 species